AUGUUAAUUUUCAUAUAUCUUUUACAGGACAGCAAAGCAAAUACACAGCCAUCAGAACCUCCUUCUUUUCUGUCAAGUCUCAGGAUGUGCCUCUUUCCCAACCUUGAGCUGAACACAGUAGAUAUGGAUGAACCAAGCGAAAAUGCCACCUUGAUGACCCAGAACUAUUUGGAUCAUUCCCAAGCUGGUGCUGAAAGUAGUGCAGGGAACAUCAGUAAGUUGUAAGGAUAUAACAUGUCUAAAGAAAUAAAGGACACAUAAAGCUGAUAGGUCA
rnacentral:lncRNA from 1 species